GCCUUUUUUUUUUCUCUCUCUCUCACUUUUUAAAUUUUUUUUAUUUUUUUGAGUCUCAAUCGUGUGGACAUCACUGGGAAUGGAGGGAAAUAACUGACUGAAUGAAUGGUCGGUGCUUUUUAAGUUUCAAACUGACAUUCCAGGCGGGUUGUGCCUGAGCCAGCUUCGGGCUUUCAGACCUUCACAGCCUGGUCCUGAGGAGGUAGAGCUCUCAGCUUCUCCCUGAAUAACUGGGAGAUGAAACAGGAAACUUUAUGACACAGUUGCUUGAAAAUGACACAGGACUCAGCCCCUCUGCAACACCUCUACCUGCUGCCCACGGCCGAGUGCAGGGGCAGGGCUGGCCCUGGGACCUGAUUCCAACUGCCGUGGACUCGGCUUUCAGUGCGAGAUGCCUGCCAUGUGGUGCUCAUGGUCUAGUCUGGUCGCUUUCCUAUGUAGCUGGCCAGUCUCAGUGUAUCUUUGUCCCUUUCCCUUCAUUAAAAGCAUAACUAAAGAAAAA